GGAGCUUGCUCCGCUGACGAGUGGCGAACGGGUGAGUAAUAUAUCGGAACGUACCAUUCAGUGGGGGGUAACGUAGCGAAAGUUACGCUAAUACCGCAUAUUCUGUGAGCAGGAAAGCAGGGGAUCGCAAGACCUUGCGCUGAUUGAGCGGCCGAUAUCAGAUUAGCUUGUUGGUGAGGUAAAGCUCACCAAGGCGACGAUCUGUAGCGGGUCUGAGAGGAUGAUCCGCCACACUGGAACUGAGACACGGUCCAGACUCCUACGGGAGGCAGCAGUGGGGAAUUUUGGACAAUGGGGGCAACCCUGAUCCAGCCAUGCCGCGUGAGUGAAGAAGGCCUUCGGGUUGUAAAGCUCUUUCAGCCGGGAAGAAAACGCAUGGGUUAAUACCCUGUGUGGGUGACGGUACCGGAAUAAGAAGCACCGGCUAACUACGUGCCAGCAGCCGCGGUAAUACGUAGGGUGCGAGCGUUAAUCGGAAUUACUGGGCGUAAAGCGUGCGCAGGCGGUUUUGUAAGACAGGCGUGAAAUCCCCGGGCUUAACCUGGGAACUGCGUUUGUGACUGCAAGGCUAGAGUACGGCAGAGGGGGGUGGAAUCCCACGUGUAGCAGUGAAAUGCGUAGAGAUGUGGAGGAACACCAAUGGCGAAGGCAGCCCCCUGGGUCGAUACUGACGCUCAUGCACGAAAGCGUGGGUAGCAAACAGGAUUAGAUACCCUGGUAGUCCACGCCCUAAACGAUGUCAACUAGGUGUUGGGAGGGUAAAACCUUUUAGUACCGGAGCUAACGCGUGAAGUUGACCGCCUGGGGAGUACGGCCGCAAGGUUAAAACUCAAAGGAAUUGACGGGGACCCGCACAAGCGGUGGAUGAUGUGGAUUAAUUCGAUGCAACGCGAAAAACCUUACCUACCCUUGGCAUGCCAAGAGCUUUCCAGAGAUGGAUUGGUGCCCGAAAGGGAACUUGGACACAGGUGCUGCAUGGCUGUCGUCAGCUCGUGUCGUGAGAUGUUGGGUUAAGUCCCGCAACGAGCGCAACCCUUGUCGUUAAUUGCCAUCAUUUAGUUGGGCACUUUAACGAGACUGCCGGUGACAAACCGGAGGAAGGUGGGGAUGACGUCAAGUCCUCAUGGCCCUUAUGGGUAGGGCUUCACACGUCAUACAAUGGUCGGUACAAAGGGUCGCCAAGCCGCGAGGUGGAGCCAAUCCCAGAAAGCCGAUCGUAGUCCGGAUCGCAGUCUGCAACUCGACUGCGUGAAGUCGGAAUCGCUAGUAAUCGUGGAUCAGAAUGUCACGGUGAAUACGUUCCCGGGUCUUGUACACACCGCCCGUCACACCAUGGGAGCGGGUUCCGCCAGAAGUAGGUAGCCUAACCGCAAGGAGGGCGCUUACCACGGCGGGGUUCGUGAC
rnacentral:rRNA from 1 species